rnacentral:rRNA from 1 species
CCUACGGGAUGCAGCAGUGGGGCAUAUUGCGCAAUGGGCGAAAGCCUGACGCAGCGACGCCGCGUGAGGGAUGAAGGUCCUCGGAUCGUAAACCUCUGUCAGCAGGGAAGAACGAUCACUGUGCUAAUCAGCAGUGAAUUGACGGUACCUGCAACGGAAGCACCGGCUCACUCCGUGCCAGCAGCCGCGGUAAUACGGAGGGUGCGAGCGUUAAUCGGAAUUACUGGGCGGAAAGUGCUAGUAGGCGGUAUGUCAAGUCAAGGGUGAAAUCCCUGCGCUCAACGUGGGAACUGCCUUUGAAUCUGGCAAACUGGAGUGUGUGAGAGGAUAGUGGAAUUCCAGGUGUAGGAGUGA